AUGUGCCGAACACUUGGAACCAUCUCAUGUGAUCCUCACGACAAUCUUGUAAUGAGAAAUACGAUCAUCCACAUUGUCAACGUUAGGAAACCGGGACUUGAGGAGACUGAAUAACUUGCACAAGGUCACGGACCUAGUAGGCGAUAGAGUCGCAACUGGUGCAUAUCUACCCUGGGACACCUUCAUGACCAUCGAUGUCUUAAUGAUAGUACCCAGAGGGGCAAAACUAGGUUGCACUGCAGUUCACGGCCACUUUCACAUCCACUAGGACUUCGUCAUUCUCCUGGGAGACGAGUGGAACCAUGAUGAUCACCACCUGGAUGUCGAGAUGAGAACAC